rnacentral:rRNA from 1 species
AGCUCUUUCGUCGGGGAAGAAAAUGACUGUACCCGAAUAAGAAGGUCCGGCUAACUUCGUGCCAGCAGCCGCGGUAAUACGAAGGGACCUAGCGUAGUUCGGAAUUACUGGGCUUAAAGAGUUCGUAGGUGGUUGAAAAAGUUAGUGGUGAAAUCCCAGAGCUUAACUCUGGAACUGCCAUUAAAACUUUUCAGCUAGAGUAUGAUAGAGGAAAGCAGAAUUUCUAGUGUAGAGGUGAAAUUCGUAGAUAUUAGAAAGAAUACCAAUUGCGAAGGCAGCUUUCUGGAUCAUUACUGACACUGAGGAACGAAAGCAUGGGUAGCGAAGAGGAUUAGAUACCCUCGUAGUCCAUGCCGUAAACGAUGUGUGUUAGACGUUGGAAAUUUAUUUUCAGUGUCGCAGCGAAAGCGAUAAACACACCGCCUGGGGAGUACGACCGCAAGGUUAAAACUCAAAUGAAUUGACGGGGACCCGCACAAGUAGUGGAGCAUGUGGUUUAAUUCGAAGAUACGCGCAGAACCUUACCAACACUUGACAUGUUCGUCGCGACUCUAAGAGAUUAGAGUUUUCGGUUCGGCCGGACGAAACACAGGUGCUGCAUGGCUGUCGUCAGCUCGUGUCGUGAGAUGUUGGGUUAAGUCCCGCAACGAGCGCAACCCUCACUUUUAGUUGCCAUCAUUAAGUUGGGCACUCUGAAAGAACUGCCAGUGAUAAGCUGGAGGAAGGUGGGGAUGACGUCAAGUCCUCAUGGCCCUUACGUGUUGGGCUACACACGUGCUACAAUGGUAUCUACAACAGGAAGCAAGACUGCGAGGUCAAGCAAAUCCUUAAAAGAUACCUCAGUUCGGAUUGCACUCUGCAACUCGAGUGCAUGAAGCUGGAAUUACUAGUAAUCGUGGAUCAGCGUGCCACGGUGAAUGCGUU